AAUACGUUCCCGGACCUUGCACACACCGCCCGCCAAGCCAUGGAAGCCGGGUGUACCUAAAGUCGGUAACCGCAAGGAGCUGCCUAGGGUAAAAUCGGUGACUGGGGCU
rnacentral:rRNA from 1 species